ensembl:lncRNA
CUGGCAAAUUAAAGAGACUUGGAACAGAGCCAUGAGAACUAAAUGGCUAAAAAUGAAAACAGGCAAACAUUUGAAGAGUAUUCUACAGAACACAGAUCUUCCAACACCUCCCCCUUUUCCACGGUUAAUUCAUUGUCAUGGAAACUGAAUUUAUCAAAAUGUUCUCGUUCACUCCUAGUGACCCAGUGAGUCGACUUACAGAGCUGGUGAAAGGUCCACCAUAAUGCACGAGUCCCACCAGGAUCCAGGAUUAAAAGUCCAGCAGCUUUUUAGGGCUAUCGUUCCAAAAAGCUCAUGGGUGGGCAGUAUGGUUUCUUGUUGCUACUCUGCUCUUAUGAUCUGUAAGUAAACAGAACUUUAACCUUUUGUACGUUCAGUGAUACGUUAUUUGCUGGAGCAGCUGAUGUGUCAGACCCUAGCUGAUUCACAAAUGACAUCUCAGGAGCAAGCAGACUGUGCUUCAUGUAAAAUCCAAUUGUAGCACUGUCAUAGUGGUUGGAGUGCUGUGUUGUCUUUUCAAUAGCUGUCAUUUCCCCUGUCAAGGGCUUCAAGUGUAUUCAGAACUUAUUCCUUUAUUUCCUUAUAAUGACUAAUGAUGAUUCACAAUCUUCCUUUCUCCUUCCUUAGUUCUAAUAACACAUGUUUUUAUCCCUUCUGUCUUAAAUCCCUCUCCUCACUCUUAAGGGAAGCUACCGAAGCAAGCAGACUCUGGCUUCAUACUCUGAGUCUUUCGGAGAAUCCUCAAUAGUUCCUGAGGAUGUUUCCUUUUUUAAUACUGUCCCUUGCUACUUCAGCUAUUUCACUAUUUUCAAGAUUGUAAUUAUUGUUGUCAUUAUUCUAGCUAGAUAUCUACUUGGAGGCUGCUGGGGAGUGUUCCAGAGAGACAUGAGAUGCACCCUACCUUCCCCUGAGCCCAAAAGAAUCCAGGUCUUAGCAACAGCUCAUCGUGGCACCAUGCUAUGUCAGAACUGCUGCAGACUUGAAAGGCUUUUCAAUGCAUUUUAUUAUGUGCUUAACAUGAACAGACAUGUUCCCUCUCCCAUCUGCAAGAAAGAGGCCGCUACUUCAAAACCUUUCUCGGCUAAUACACCAGAGCAGCCCGGUGGACUAGAUGUUCUGAACUAGUGUAACUCACUGAGGAGCAAGAAUCAUCACCACAGGGGUAUAACAGUCUCACUAGGCUGCAGUAUCUCCAUUUAUUUUUAGACUUCUGCACCACAGCUGGAGCUGACUACUCCAGGAAUCGUAAUUUCUGCCUUUGGAAAGUAGAAAGAGCUGUGUUCACAACUUAUCCUCAGAAAGGUAUUAAUAAUGAAAAAUAGGGCAAUGUAUAAAAUAUAUUAUUUAAGGAUAGUUUUAAAGAUGGCCUGUGUAGCAGUAGUUAACAUUCAGUGGAGUAAAAACUAUGACAAAUUCCACUAAUAAGAUGUUAGGUAUUCAGGAGGUCAUACAAGCCAUCUCUAAGCUACUACUUGUAAAGGUGGCCUAAACAAAAGCAAAACAAAGUGUAGACACACCGUUUUUAUUUCUUUCUACUGGAUUAAGUAGCUCGAUAUAUAUAGAUAUAUAUAAAGAUUGUAUUCUACAUGCUUUUUACAUUUUAAAUAUUAGGUUGUCACUUCCUUGCAUGUGCUGGAAGACAGGCAAACUAGCGGGACAUACUGAGGGACUAAAACUUGAGCAAGUAUGAGCAAAACUUGCUUUUGUAAAUAACUAUUUAGCUCUAACUUCUGAAAAACAUUUGAGAGAAAAGCUUUCUCUGUGCAAUAAAGGGCUGAGGAACCUAUCA